GAAAAGAGACUGCGGCAUGGCCAUCCCUGAGGGUGGGGGUGGGAGUGGGGUGGUUUCUCACCUUCCCUCUAUACCUCUCACAAGUGUGUGUUCCCUACGACUAAAACUAAAAAAAGACAAAAAAAAAAAAAAAAGCCCUGGCUGUUUGGCUUGCUUCUUUGGAGACUUCUUCAAACUGCUGAAAAGAAUGACUCUUCUAAUGGGAGCUCGAGUGACCCUCAAAUUAGAAAGUCCUCUCCAGGUAAUCAAGAGACGGAAGAGAGAUGAACGACUAAAACAGGCCAAGUGGUGCUAGCACUUUCCACACGGACAUUAGAAGACUGCGCUUUAUGUGAUGUUUGACCGCUGCAGGAAGACUUACCCUCUUAAACGCGUACAGCCUAAUGUCCUAAAAAAUUGCUUAACAGAUUUUUAUGUUCUAUUAGACCCAUCUCCAUUUUGGUGAAGUGCCACUCAUUUCUUAUUCCAAACCGCAGAUCUUGAGUAGCAACAGGGGGGGACGUCUGACCACAGCCACCAUUUGUCUUCUGGGCCUGGUUCGCGGACUCAUCUAGAAGGAACUGAAAUGGCUGACGGCACGUCGCCACCUUUAGGUAACCACAGACUUGUUUGGUGCUGGGCAAUUCGUCUUUUUUUGUUUCCAGAGUAAGACUGAGAGACCAAUUUACUCCCAGAGAAAAUGGGAGUGACGUCUAUUAAGUUUUUACAUGAAAACAUUUUUCCACCAAGGGAUGCCUGUCACUCUGAGCAACGGUGCCACCGCGAAUGCCUCCUGUGUUGGCAUGAUUUACUAACUAGCUCUGUCGGAGCGGAAUGGGCACACUGCCAGGUAGCUCCCAGGCCACACGUGAGUCUCGAGGGUCCCAGCUGCUUCUCUCCUUUCGUUCUCUUUGGCUUCGUGCUGGGUUACACAGAGCAGAGACCUGGAUCCUGGCAUCUGCAGGGCAAUUUGGUGUUGGGACAAAGUCACCAGCUAGAAGAAACCAUGUCAGGUCAGCAGAUGGUGUAGCGGUUACGUCACUGACCUCCUAUAUGGCCGACUGCGAUUCAAGUCCUGGACUCGGUGACUUGAAACUCAGGCCAGGCAUGUGUGCAUGCAUGCCCAAGAUCCCGGAAGGAGAAUGGAUUAGAAGGGAUUGAAGGGUUGCCAUUCCCCCUUAGGGGUGAUUUCUCUCUCUCUCGUCGUCUCUGUCUCCCUCUCUGGCGAGUAUGCAUACCCUAGAGGCAAAAACUUCUUAAAAGAAUAAAAGAAACCCUGAAGUAAUGCCGCCACUGCAUAGGUGCGAUGCGAUUGGUAGCAGGCCUGUGAACUGUUAACUUCCAAGGUGGCUCUUAGCCAUAAAGCAGUUCAAAUGAUCUUGUAGACCCUGGGCGGAAUUCCCUCGUGAUGUGAUGGAAAACAUCAACACUUAAGGGAAACAAGAAUGAUUAAUUGUGGGUUGAAUUUUCUUGUUUUAUAUCCAGAUCAUGAAUAUUUAAAGAAAAAUCAUUUCAACUUGGUAGGCCAGACUGCCGAGGAAUCACUGAGUUUUUCAUGAGCUUCUAUUAUUUGGUUUUGUAGAGCAGUUGCCAGGCCUAGAAGCGUCCUCGCUAAAACUCAUUAUCUUUAGUCAAUCUGGCCAAACGUCAAGUUGUUAGAUAAACAACCCGGGGUCCAUCUAAACACUUGGCAACGUAGGAGAAUAUAAAUUCCCUUUUAGUUGUUUUUUUCCCUGCUGGCCCAGACUACUCGUAUGUGUGCCAAAAGCUGAGGUCCCCUAAUUCCUCGUUAGCUUUACCCACCCUGAGCUUGUGGGUGCACAGCUGGUCUGCUGUAGGUCAGCUCUGACAAGGAAGGCUUGCCCCCUCCACCCUGAACCACUUCAAAGCCAAGUGGAUCCUCAGACUGUCCUGGGGCUUGGGGCCUGCACCUCAGUCGAUCUUGGAAUCCAGUAAAGUCCAAAAUCUUCAGGGGAUCACUCACAAGGCACUGAUUUGGGUACAGGAAAAUAAAAUUAAGCUCACCAUAGCAUUUCUUCUAGGGGCUGCCCGGGAGAAUUUCCAGAGAAAGGGAAAGGCUAGCUUGGGAGUUUGUUUCUGGCUUCAUUCCACCCCAUACCUGAUUUCUCAUUUUCAGUUUUCUUUCCCUGGUAAGGAAGACUCGAUG